rnacentral:rRNA from 1 species
GUGGGGAAUCUUGCGCAAUGGGCGAAAGCCUGACGCAGCGACGCCGCGUGCGGGAAGAAGGCCUUCGGGUUGUAAACCGCUUUCAGGGGGGACGAAGCCACUCGGGUUAAUAGCCCAGAGGGUGACGGUACCUCCAGAAGAAGCCCCGGCUAACUACGUGCCAGCAGCCGCGGUAAUACGUAGGGGGCAAGCGUUGUCCGGAUUUAUUGGGCGUAAAGCGCGUGUAGGCGGUUCAAUAGGUCCGGUGUGAAAACUCGAGGCUCAACUUCGAGAGGCCAUCGGAAACCAUUGGACUAGAGUCCGGAAGAGGAGAGUGGAAUUCCUGGUGUAGCGGUGAAAUGCGCAGAUAUCAGGAGGAACACCGAUGGCGAAGGCAGCUCUCUGGGACGGUACUGACGCUAAGACGCGAAAGCGUGGGGAGCAAACAGG